AUUGAACGCUGGCGGCAGGCUUAACACAUGCAAGUCGAGCGGGGGAAGGUAGCUUGCUACUGGACCUAGCGGCGGACGGGUGAGUAAUGCUUAGGAAUCUGCCUAUUAGUGGGGGACAACAUCUCGAAAGGGAUGCUAAUACCGCAUACGUCCUACGGGAGAAAGCAGGGGAUCUUCGGACCUUGCGCUAAUAGAUGAGCCUAAGUCGGAUUAGCUAGUUGGUGGGGUAAAGGCCUACCAAGGCGACGAUCUGUAGCGGGUCUGAGAGGAUGAUCCGCCACACUGGGACUGAGACACGGCCCAGACUCCUACGGGAGGCAGCAGUGGGGAAUAUUGGACAAUGGGGGGGACCCUGAUCCAGCCAUGCCGCGUGUGUGAAGAAGGCUUUAUGGUUGUAAAGCACUUUAAGCGAGGAGGAGGCUACUCUAGUUAAUACCUAGGGAUAGUGGACGUUACUCGCAGAAUAAGCACCGGCUAACUCUGUGCCAGCCGCCGCCGUAA
rnacentral:rRNA from 1 species